GAAUGAAUGAAGCAAAGAUAAUGAGCACAAAAUUUGAAUCGGGUUGCUAUGCUUGCCCUCUCUGAUGACUUUUUUUGGCUUUGAUUUGGGGCAUGGUUCCAAGACAUAAUG